AGGGCACCACGAGGAGUGGAGCCUGCGGCUUAAUUUGACUCAACACGGGAAAACUCACAUCGCCAGCACCCCUUAAGGAUUGACAAACCGAGAGCUCUUUCUUGAUUCCGUGGGUGGUGGUGCAUGGCCGUUCUUAGUUGGUGGAGUGAUUUGUCUGGUUAAUUCCGAUAACGAACGAGACUCUAGCCUGCUAAAUAGACGGGCGAUCCCGUUGUGGGUCGACCCGAUUUGCUUCUUAGAGGGACAAGUGGCGUUCCUAGCCACGCGAAAUUGAGCAAUAACAGGUCCGUGAUGCCCUUAGAUGUCCGGGGCCGCACGCUCACUUCAAUGAGGGACGCAGUGUGCCCUUCAAGCCUGACCAAAAAGGGUUGGGUAAUCAUUUCAAUUUCCCUCGUAAUAGGGAUUGAGCAUUGUAACUAUUGCUCAUGAACGAGGAAUUCCUAGUAAGCGCGAGUCAUAAGCUUGCGUUGACUACGUCCCUGCCCUUUGUACACGCCGCCCGUCGCUACUACCGAUUGA
rnacentral:rRNA from 1 species